GACGAACGCUGGCGGCGUGCCUAAUACAUGCAAGUCGAACGCAGUUGGAACGGGUGAGUAACGUGUGGGUAACCUCCCAUCAGAGGGGAUAACACUUGGAAACAGGUGCUAAACCGAUACUGAUGGAUGGAACCGCGGUGCAUUAGCCAGUUGGUGAGGUAACGGCUCACCAAGGCCACGAUGCCUAGCAGAUCUGAGAGGAUGAUCGGCCACACUGGUACUGAUACACGGCCCAGACUCCUACGGGAGGCAGCAGUGGGGAAUCUUCGGCAAUGGACGAAAGUCUGACCGAGCAACGCCGCGUGAGUGAAGAAGGUUUUCGGAUCGUAAAUCUCUGUUGUUAGAGAAGCGGUAUCUAAACAGAAAGCCACGGCUAACUACGUGCCAGCCGCCGCGGUAAUAC
rnacentral:rRNA from 1 species